UCUGGAACUGCAGAUAUUUCCAUGGGAUUUGUCUCGCAUUUGAGCAUCAACAUAGGCAAAAGCAAUCCCAACAAAAACAAGACUGAUUCAAUUCCAUCUUCAAUAGACAACAAGGUGCAUUCUUACACACACUUCUUAUUGUAAUUGGUGCAUUCUUGCACAUGUUUAUUUUUAAAUUUCGAUGCAUUCAAUUGUGAAAGGAUUUAUGACUUUGAAAAUGAAAGAGAGAGGCUCAUUAUGGAGAAGGACGCAGUCAUUCAAGAGCAUGCUUCCCUAGAAAAUCAAUUGGUUUCUUUACAGACACAGAUAAACAGCCUCACUACAGAAGUAGAUAACCUUAUAAGUAAGGUUAGUUCCAUAAAGAAGGAAUAUGAUCAAGCCCAAUCUGAGCUCAAUUUGAGUCGUUCAAAGAUGAAAGAAUGUGACGCUGAGAUCAGUGCCAUUGUCAAGGAGCAACAGAAGCCUCAACAUAAAAUUAGUGAUGCAAAUGUUAUGAGGAAAAAAUUGGAAAAUGAGGUACUUCAAAUGGAGAUGGAACAGAAAGAUUGCUCCUUGAAGGUAGAUAAGCUACUAGAAAGGCAUAGUUGGAUUGCAGCUGAGAAACAAUUAUUUGGAAAAAGUGAGACAGAUUAUGACUUCUCAUCUCGUGAUCCUCGUAAUUCAAGGAAGGAGCUUGAGAAACUUCAAGCUGAACAAUCUGGAAGAAGGUUAAUGGACAUGCAUCUCAGUUAAUCUGAUUGAUUGCUUUCAGCCUUGAGAAGAGGGUCAACAAGUUAUGGCACUGUUCGAGAAAGCUGAAGAUGAAUACAAUGACUUAUUAUCCAAGAAAAACAUCAUUGAGAAUGAUAAGUCAAAAAUCAAGAAGGUGAUUGAAGAGCUUGAUGAAAAGAAGAAGGAAACACUAAAAGUUACUUAGGUUAAAGUGAACAAGCUAACAAGCUAAAGAAGUCAGUGGAGGAUGAAAUUCAUUUUCUCAAUGGAAGGGUUUCAGAACUUGAAAGUGAUCUUGUGU